rnacentral:rRNA from 1 species
CACGUAGGGGGCGAGCGUUGUCCGGAUUUAUUGGGCGUAAAGAGCUCGUAGGCGGUUCGCUAAGUCGGGUGUGAAACCUCCAGGCUCAACCUGGAGACGCCACCUGAUACUGGCGUGACUAGAGUCCGGUAGGGGAGUGUGGAACUCCUGGUGUAGCGGUGAAAUGCGCAGAUAUCAGGAAGAACACCAGUGGCGAAGGCGGCUCACUGGUCCGGUACUGACGCUGAGGUGCGAAAGCGUGGGGGAGCAAACAGG